CUUUCUCCCUGUGCUUCCUCUCCCCUGUGUUUACAAUGGCUGAAUGGCUCAGGCUAAACACUUUUUCAGAGCCUCAGAAAACGUAAUCCAAGUGAUAGCUGUCUGACAAAUCUAUCACUGACUGAAACAAGAAGCUGUGCCAUUGACUUCAGUUAUCAAUCUUGAAACAUUUUCCUUUUUUGCAGGAAAGAAUCAUAAAGUUUUCAACAAGUAUUAUUAGAUAAGCUUGAUAAUAUCUGCCUGAAAGAGUUUACUUGGAAGAAGUACAAUGAGGAGACUGAAAAACAGAAAACUACACAGCCCGCUUAUGGUCACUGAAAAAACAGGGAAUGAUUACCAUAAAGCUGAACAGGGAAAGCCAAUUUGGGAGCAUGAUCAGCUGAGUUGGGCGGCCAGCCUUGAAGACAGGCACACUGAGGAUGAAGCAGGAGGAGCAGGCACUGCAGGCCUGGUUUGCAGGGCUCUCAGGCCCUGGCGCCAUGCUGGACAGGCAGUAGGACAUGACAUCUCCGUUGGAUGGGCUGCACCAUGGGUUGGAAGAGAGAAAACAGGAGGGAAGUGGGUUAAUGCAGUGAAGGAACUUAUAGGGGACAAAAGGGGCACAUCUGUAGUAAGCAGGAUUCAUUAGUUCAGAUGCACGAGAACGACUUAAAUGUAUCUCUCAAACUGACUUCAGUCCUACAUACAUCAAAGAAAUCUUUUUCACAAGGCAUUUAAUUGCUGUUUAUGUGCACAGAUUUUAAUUAAUUGUCAUUUACCCAUACGGAAAUUAUUGGCACAAUCAAGGACUUUUACUCAGCAUCUCCACCUCAAUCCUACAUUUUGUUAUUAACAAGAAAACUAAUAGAAUUCAAAACAGAUCAGGUUUUUCAGGAUUACAUUAAAAAAAUAAUAAUAAUGAUGCUUUUUUUAAUUUUAAGAGUCGAACGCAUUUGCCAAAAUGCCAUUUUAAAAGCAGCAAGUGUUUGGGUUUGGGAAACAGGUCAGGUUGACCGUUUUAGAAAAUAAUUCUAUGCUUUAAUCAGGAAGUUUUAACUCAAAUGAUGUGCAUCCAUACUCAUGGAAAUCCAAGAAGUAGCCUGUCCUGUGUCAUCCAUUCAGACCCUUCCUUUUCUGGUAAUAUUGCCAAGAAAACAAAACAAAACAACAUCAUGUAACACAGUUAGCCUUGUGAUGUCAAGAGCACUGACAUAUUGUCAUCUCAGGAGCAAUGUGAUCAGCUAUUUUCAUAGCAGUCAAUAAUCAAUUACCAUUGGCCAUUAGUUUUGUCAGUAAAACUGAUUCAAACUUAUUCCUACGGACAGAAUUCUUUGCAACUGAUUCUGUUAGUAAUGUCUUUAUUUACGUCUCUUUCUAAGUAUUAUUAUUCAGAACUUUUAUUAUUAUUCAGAACUUAUUCUUCAGAACUACAAUAAAAGGAAGAGAUUUUCAUCCAGGACAAUUUUUCAUGUUUCCAUUAUACUUAAUGAUUUUACACUCAGGACAUGAGAAAAUUAUUGUCAGUUGUGAACCUGUCUCCUUCCCUGGUGACCAGCUAUUCACCCAGUGCUAGUUUACAAGAUUGGACCUGAUGGAGCAGAGUGUGGUAAGUCAAGAAUCUGGUGUUUGCUUUAAUGCAGAAAUUCAUUUAUCUACCUGAAACUCUCAGAGCUUCCUGACAUUUCUAGCAGUGAUAAAAUAGCAUAUGUUUUCUUCUUUCUUUUCUGGCAAAAAUCUUAAUGAAUUUACUUCCUUGUACAUAAGGAAGCACAUUAUGCAGUGAAAAUACUUUUCAAAAAAUACCUCACACUUCAUAUUUGCUGUUUUCCUAAUGUAGUAGUGAUAAGAUUUACUUCAUUAAAAAACAAAAAAGAAAAAGAAAAGGAAAAAAAGAAAUUCCUCAGCUGCAAGGGAUCUUUUUGUUCUUUGUUUGUGUUUACUGACUCAUUGUACUAGUUUUAAGAUUCACUGAUGAAGAUACAAAAAUCUUCGUGUUUCCAAGUGAUUAUAAGAAAGCAACUGAAGUUUUAAAAGCAGACUAUUUCUGCAAUGAUGGAUAUCAUAUCUGGAGUACCCGGCUCAGAGCAUUCUCAAACAAACAAGUUUUUUUGGAAGGUACUGAAGUAUAGUGCUGUGUUAUUCUUUGCAUUGUGAUUGUGUGGUGUUCAUUCAAUCCCUGUGUGUCCACACGAGUUUGACGCUGAUCAGGUGUAAUUGCAUAAUUUCCCAAUGGGUACCAAGAAAUCCUCUACUGAUCUUUUGCAUUGCUAGGCUCUGUAGUUUCAGGCCAUCAUUCUUCCAGUCCUUAGCCUUUCACAAUUCCAUCAGUUUGGCAAAUGCCCAAAAGCUAUUUAGUCAUGAACUCAUUACUGAUACAACAAGCAACACAGUGCAUGAAACACCAUACUGCCCACAGAAUUCCUAAAUAAUACGUUCUGGAAUGCUUAUCUUAAAUUCCAUCUUGUUAUUACUUUGGCACAUUAAAUUAAGUGGACUUAUCAACAAAUAACAAUCAGAAGCAACGAGCAAAGUUUUGUUCAAGUUAUGUCACGGCCCUCCAGAUUUCAUCGUCCAUACGUGAAAAGCAUUCCAUUCUGUCAGAAAUAUGAAAGAUGGGGGGGGGGAGAAAGGCACUUUUAUUGUACUUGACAGCAAUUUGUGUUUUUGAUGACUAAGCAGCGAUACCAAUCUAACACAACAGGAUUAUCGUAGUCAAGACCAGUAGUUUCUACCCUACAUAUCACCCAUGAAUCACUGCCUGAUCUUACCCAAGAUGCUGCUUGCCACCGUUUCCUUGACCCCAACUUGUCAAAAUCACUUGCAUAAUCAGCAAGAAGUGGCCUGGCCCUCCACGAUUUCAGAGGCAGACAUUAAGAAGCAGUCAUGAAAAAUAUGUUUAUGACAUCUCUGUGCUUUUUUGUAUCCUUUCGUGAGAUAGAGAACAAAAUCUCCUGCCACCAUUUUGAAACCUGUGUUAUUAAUUGGAAAUUAAUCGAAGCACAUGAACCAAUGUUCUCCACAAACACAUUGCUAAACAAGUUGAGUAUUGCAGGAUUGCUUAUUUUCCUUCUAUCUGAAAAGCAGCAGAAAUAUACAUAGGUUGCUCCAAAAGUAACGCCUCCUACUUAAUUCUGCGGAAACUACACCGGAUACAAAGAGCACAUUAGCACCAUCUGACAGAGCAAAUUCUCAGCUACAAAACACGAUUUUCCAAUACAAUCACCACCAUGAGCAACGCAUUUUCACCAGUGAUGAUCAAGAGCCUACCUGCUUUGCUCCCUGAAAUCUGACAGAGGUCAAUGUUGUCACUGCUGAAGCGCACCAGCCACUGCCUCACUGUACUCAUAUCCACUGCUUGGUCUCCAUUAAUGUUCAGCAAGCAUCAGUGAAUAUGAAUGGAUGCCAUUACUUAUGCAUGGAGGAAUUCAAUGAUACCAUUUCAUAGGCCUGACUCCCAUGUCAGACACCAUUUUGUCAAACUGCCCCUCUGCUGCCAUCUGUCACACAGCAACAAAAUGUAAAGAAAUGUUUGUGGAAAAGUUCACCCCUAUUGCCAUACCACCAACAUUCACCUCUGAUGUUGUGGGAACAUGAUAAAAUGGGAGGCAUUAUUUUCGGAGCACACCUCGUGUGUUGCAAAAUGUGAUCAUGGCAUUUUAAUGUGAUUUAGAGAUGUAAAGAUUUAAGUGAGAUUAAUGAUCUAAGAUUUAAAAAGAGCCUUCAUAAUAUUUCAUGCUUUAGGAAGCAGCUAUUCCUGUCAUACAAUCUGUGUGUGGGAAGAGUGUGGGAGGGAAGUGUGCAUAGCUGAGGGUCUUCUAAAAAGAGCAAAAGCUCUUCCCUGAUUUAUGGGGUUUUAAAGAAUACAGUGUGGUUUUAAGGUUUGGGUUUUGAAUUCAGGCAGAAUCAUCUAUUCUGGGCAAUAGGAAAGGCACUGGAAGAGUUAAUUAAAAAUGACGUUGAGAAUGGUGUGGUGAAAGAGAAGGCAUGAGUGGGUAGUAGAUAAGGCAGAGGCAAUAUUACUGAUUGUGUGAUGUGGAGUGUCAUCAGUUAUCAAAUAAAUAAAGAAAGUGGGCAAUCUGUGAGCUCUCCUGUUUGUUCUGUGUUUAGGAGUCAUCUCCUAGUUCACAAAUAUGAGAAGCAGGGA
rnacentral:lncRNA from 1 species